rnacentral:rRNA from 1 species
GAGUGAAGAGGGACAAGCUCAAAUUUUAAAUCUAUCGGGUUUUACCCGAUCGAGUUGUAAUUUGAAGAAGCGUUUUCUGCGUUUUUGGUCAGCCCAAGUCCUAUUGAAUGAGGCAUCAUGGAGGGUGAUAAUCCCGUCCGGUUGAUCAUUUGCGUUUUACGAUACGCCUUCUAAGAGUCAAGUUGUUUGGGAUUGCAGCUUAAAAUGGGAGGUAAAUUUCUCCUAAGGCUAAAUAACGGCGAGAGACCGAUAGCGAACAAGUACCGUGAGGGAAAGAUGAAAAGAACUUUGAAAAGAGAGUUAAACAGUACGUGAAAUUGUUGAAAGGGAAACGAUUGAAGCCAGUCGUACCUUCGGGUAAUCAGCCUUUCGGGUGCGAUUCUGUGGAGUGUGAGGAGCUUAACACCUUCAUGCUUUGCAUAUUUGUGCUCUUGGGUGUACUUGCCCGUGUGGUUGGUUAACAUCAAUUUUGGUGGUCAUAAAAUGACUGGAGGAAUGUAGCUUUGAUCUCGUAUUGAAGUGUUAUAGCCUUCGGUAGAUGUGAUGAUCGAGACUGAGGAUUGCAACGGAUACCCUUCGGGGCUACCUGUCUGGUCUCUGAUCGUUGCUCUGGUGCCGAAAGCUUGCUUACGGUUAUCAAAGUCGAUGGUCAAUAGGUUAGAACGAGUUAAAUUCGUUA